AAAAGUUUAAAUCUCAAACUUAAGUUUACCUAUUAUCAAGACUACACAUGCAAGCAUCCACACCCCAGUGAAAAUGCCUCACCCAUUACAAAUGUAAGAGAGCAGGUAUCAGGCUCAACAACGUUAGCCCCCCACACCUUGCCCAGCCACAUCCCCACGGAUACACAGCAGUGACCAACAUUAGGCAAUAAGCAUCUAAGCUUGACCUAGCUAAAAUUAUACACUUGGCCGGCAAAUCUCGUGCCAGCAGCCGCGGUUACACGGGAGGCCAAAGAUAACCCAUUAACGGCGUAAAGAGUGACUACAGAUCUCCUUACCUACUUCAGAUUUUAAAACCCCAUCUCAGAGAUGAAACCCCAAGAUACUAAGAAUCCCUAAAAAUCUCAAAACAGGCCAUCUUACUCACGAAAAUCAGAACACAAACUAGGAUUAGAUACCCUACUAUGCCUGACCGUAAACAAAAAUGGAACCUAACAACCCACUCGCCCGAGGACUACCAGCACAAGCUAAAAACUCAAAAGACUUGACGGUGCUCUACCCUACCUAGAGGAGCCUGUCCUAUAAUCGAUACCCCACGAUCUACCCUACCUCUAUUAGCGCACACCAGCCUAUAUACCGCCGUCGAAAGUAUAUCCUGCAAAGGGCCUACAAUUAUCUCAAUAGCCCACCACUAACACGUCAGGCCAAGGCAUAGCUGAUAUAGAGGCAGAGAUGGGCUACAUUUUCUGAAUGCAGAACAAACGAAAAAUAACAUGAAAUACUGUUAUUUAAAGGCGGAUUUAGCAGUAAGUUGAAAAAGCAUAUUCACCUAAACCCAGCACCAGAGCACGUACACACCGCCCGUCACCCUCAUUAAUAACAAACCUAUCUAAUCAUAUUCCCAACUCAACCCAUAGAUGAGGCAAGUCGUAACAUGGUAAGUGUACUGGAAAGUGCACUUGGAAAAAC
rnacentral:ncRNA from 1 species